GACGAACCGUGCGAACGUUAUUCGGAAUCACUGGGCUUAAAGCGCGUGUAGGCGGGUCGGCACGUCGGUCGCUGAAAUCCCCCGGCUCAACCGGGGAAGGGCGCCGAUACGGCCGGCCUGGAGGGACGUAGGGGGGGCUGGAACUUCCGGUGGAGCGGUGAAAUGCGUUGAGAUCGGAAGGAACGCCCGUGGCGAAAGCGAGGUCCUGGACGUUUCGUGACGCUGAGACGCGAAAGCCAGGGGAGCGAACGGG
rnacentral:rRNA from 1 species